rnacentral:rRNA from 1 species
GUGGGGAAUUUUGGACAAUGGGCGCAAGCCUGAUCCAGCAAUGCCGCGUGCAGGAAGAAGGCCUUCGGGUUGUAAACUGCUUUUGUACGGAACGAAACGGUCCUGGUUAAUACCUGGGGCUAAUGACGGUACCGUAAGAAUAAGCACCGGCUAACUACGUGCCAGCAGCCGCGGUAAUACGUAGGGUGCGAGCGUUAAUCGGAAUUACUGGGCGUAAAGCGUGCGCAGGCGGUGCUGUAAGACAGGCGUGAAAUCCCCGGGCUCAACCUGGGAACUGCCAUUGUGACUGCAAGGCUAGAGUGCGGCAGAGGGGGAUGGAAUUCCGCGUGUAGCAGUGAAAUGCGUAGAUAUGCGGAGGAACACCGAUGGCGAAGGCAAUCCCCUGGGCCUGCACUGACGCUCAUGCACGAAAGCGUGGGGAGCAAACAGGAUUAGAAACCCUAGUAGUCC